rnacentral:lncRNA from 1 species
CGCCGCGACCCGAGCCCGGGGAGCCCGGGGAGCCCGGGGAGCCCGGGAGCCGCGGCCGCCGCACACAAAGGCGCGGCCACGCGAGCCGCGGGAGAGCGGGAGGCGGCCCGGGGGACGCGCCCCGCCGGGGCACCGAGGCAGCGCUGCGCGCGGGCCGUGCGCCCGGGGCGCGGGGCGCGGCGCGGGGGCCCGGGCGGCGCGGCGAGUUCAGGUGCGCGGGGCGAGGCUGGGACGGCGGCGGCGGCGGCUGGCCCCGCUCCUCCUCCUCCUCCCGGGCGGACUGAGCAGAGGAGCGGCGGAGACAAGGGGCCCGGCCCCUCCCCUCCUUCCCCCCUCCUGCUCCGCCGCCGGUCCCCUCCCCGCGCCGCCGCCGCUCCGCCCCUCCCACCGCGGGCAGCUGGCGCGCCGCCCGCCCCGCCGGUGCGCUCCCCGGCCCGGCCCGCCCCCGGGCGCGCCGACCCCGCCCCGGCCCGCCCCGGCCCGCCCCGCCCCGCCGCGGCCCCUGCCCCGCGCCCCGCGCCCCGCGCCCCGCGCCCCGCGCAGCCCGGCAGCGCCCGUCGCGCGCGCCGCGGCUCCCCCUCCCGGGCCCCUCUGCUCCCCACCUCGCCCCCCUCCCUCCCUCCCGGUCCUCUUUGUCCCCGAUGCCUCGGAGCGCUCCUCGCUCCCUUCCAAGCCUCGGCCGCCGGCCCGGUGCCCGGUGUGGCCCUCCCAGCCCCCCUGCCGCGCCCCGCGGCGCCCGGCCCCCGGCUCCCGUCGCGGCGUCCCCUCGCCGUCCGCUCCCUUGCCGCCCCUCGCCCCGUUUGUCCCUCGUGGGGCCGGCCCCCGGCCCGCCUGCCCUCCGCCGCCCUCCCGCGCGAAUGGCCCCUGCUCGGCGGCACCUCCCCGGCAGCCAGCCCGCGGGAGGGCCUCCCGGGGGCCGGGGCCGGGCCCCCAGGUACACCUGUGGUGUUCUCCAGGAGGGGUGUUGGGGCCUGACCUUUCACAGUGA